rnacentral:rRNA from 1 species
GACGAACGCUGGCGGCGUGCUUAACACAUGCAAGUCGAACGGAAAGGCCCUGCUUGCAGGGUACUCGAGUGGCGAACGGGUGAGUAACACGUGGGUGAUCUGCCCUGCACUUCGGGAUAAGCCUGGGAAACUGGGUCUAAUACCGGAUAGGAGCCAUUUUGAGUGUGAUGGUUGGAAAGUUUUUUCGGUGUAGGAUGAGCUCGCGGCCUAUCAGCUUGUUGGUGGGGUAAUGGCCUACCAAGGCGGCGACGGGUAGCCGGCCUGAGAGGGUGGACGGCCACCUUGGGACUGGGAUACGGCCCAGACUCCUACGGGGGGCAGCAGUGGGGAAUAUUGCACAAUGGGCGCAAGCCUGAUGCAGCGACGCCGCGUGGGGGAUGACGGCCUUCGGGUUGUAAACUCCUUUCGCUAGGGACGAAGCUUUUUGUGACGGUACCUAGAUAAGAAGCACCGGCUAACUACGUG